ACACGAGGAGCCGCUCGCUGCAGCCUGUAGGAAGGCGGAGUUGGACAUCCAACCCCGCCCACAUCCAACUCCGCCCAUGUCCAACUCCGCCUUACGUCUAAAGCAACACCCACCUUACGUCCGUCACGAACGCCUACAUUUACUCCCGUAAACAGGAAUUGUAGCCGAGAAAGCAGCUAAAGCAUCUAUCUGAUUUAUAUCUCCGGUUAUGGCGCAUCCAACACAUGUCCAGGCCACUCCUGACCCUUCACGGUUUGGCCAGUGUGGUGUUUUCAAAUGCCCCUGCUUCAGUUUUGACACUGACCAGCGAUUUAAUAACAGCCUACAUCUACAAAACCAUAUCAAACAAGCAGUCGAGAAUAACGGUAUGGGGAAGUAUUUCUUUAAACAGAGAGAGAGAUAUUGAUUUUAUUGGCUAUAACAAAACAUGUAAAUGUAAUAUCUUGAAUCAACAAAUGCACUUACAUCUUACACUCAAUUGAUGGGCAUAAUGAGUUGAAGAAUAUUAAUAUUUAUAGGCUUAAUUGCAUGUUGUGUGCAUUUUGGUCUUACAGUUUCCUUCAUCUCUAAACUGCACACCUACAGCACACUUUUAUUGUGUCUAUUGCAGCCAUACAAUACUAUGCAAAGACCAGUUCAGACAUCAUGUAUCUCUGUGCAGCAGUGCAACCAAGACCACUAUAGCAGAAGUGUUUAAUCCACAGACUGUUGCUACUUCUGAUGCACGUCCAGCUCCCCCUCUGCCAGCUACUCCUGAUACACCUUCUCCCAGUUCUGGUCUUGCUUCCUCUGUGCAUGGUAUUAAUUAUAUUAAUUAUUAUAUUUUCUCUCAGGAAAGUCCAGCGUGUUGAACGUGUGACUGAUGAAGGAGAUAGAAUGGGCAACGUCUCCUUUGAACAGAUACAGUUCUGGAAGAGGGUGACAAAGCUUUUUUAAAGCUGCCACUGGUUUGUCGUCUCUUCCGGGACAUUGUUUGGACAACAAUCAUUCCGGGCCCGGGCACAUUUCGAGUGGCUUGACAGUGUAGUGCCAUGAAAACACCACAGUGCUGCAUGUAAAGACGAGUUUUGCAGGAUGUACGAACUGCAGUGCUGCCAGAACUGUCAAGAAACUUAUAAAGACUGCAUACUGGGCUACGUUGGGCAUGGGAGACGAGGGGAGCUUGUGGCAUUUUACAGCGAAAACGAGCACCCUGGAUUCUGCAGCCAGCUUCAUGAGUGGCAGGGUGUGUGAGUGGCAGGGUGUGUGAGUGGCUGGGUGUGUGAGUGGCUGGGUGUGUGAGUGGCUGGGUGUGUGAGUGGCUGGGUGUGUGAGUGGCUGGGUGUGUGAGUGGCUGGGUGUGUGAGUGGCUGGGUGUGUGAGUGGCAGGGUGUGUGAGUGGCAGGGUGUGUGAGUGGCAGGGUGUGUGAGUGGCAGGGUGUGUGAGUGGCUGGGUGUGUGAGUGGCUGGGUGUGUGAGUGGCUGGGUGUGUGAGUGGCUGGGUGUGUG